rnacentral:rRNA from 1 species
GGAGUUUGGGCCGUGUCUCAGUCCCAAUGUGGCCGUUCACCCUCUCAGGCCGGCUACUGAUCGUCGACUUGGUGAGCCGUUACCUCACCAACUAUCUAAUCAGUCGCAUCCUCAUCCAUCGCCGAUAAAUCUUUAUUCGCCAAACCAUGCGGAAAAGCGAAACCAUCAGGUAUUAAUCUUUCUUUCGAAAGGCUAUCCCUGAGCCAUGGGUAGAUUGGAUACGCGUUACGCACCCGUGCGCCGGUCGCCAUCAAAAGUAGCAAGCUACUUUCAUGCUGCCCCUCGACUUGCAUGUGUUAAGCCUGUAGCUAGCGUUCAUC